CAGUGCCUUGCCUUCUCUUAGGCUUUGAAGCAUUUUUGUCUGUGCUUCCUGAUCUUCAGGUCACCACCAUGAAGUUCUUAGCAGUCCUAGUACUCUUGGGAGUUUUCACCUUUCUGGUCUCUGCCCAGAGUCCAACAACAUCUGCUCCAGCUGACACGCAUCCAGCUA